AGAGCCCAGCCAGCGGCCGGCCGUGCCACAGGGGCACCUGCGAGCACCAGAGCUGCUGGAAGCCCACAAGCACUAUGUGGCUGAAAUCCGGGCCAGGACCCAGCAGCUGGAGCAGCAGAGAGCAGGGCUGUGCCAGCGCCUGGCGGUGCUGGCGGAUGAGCAGCUGCGGCCGAAGCCCAGGCGAUCCCCAGAGGCACUGCGGGGUGAGGCCGGACACCUGCACGGAGGGACCGCCCUACACCUCAGUGCCCUCCUGCCGCCUUCCGGGCCGCUUGCUGCUGAGGCCAGGGCCCUGAUGCUGUCCUACCUGCGCAGUGGUGGCCAUGACGCGGCCAUCCUGGCCCAUCUGCUCGACCUCCAGGUGGAGGCCACAGCGCUGGAGAAAAGGGCAGCACGGAGGACAGGUAAGUGGCAGCCCCAGUGCAGAUCCCAGCCUGGGGUUCUGGCCCCCUGUCCCCACUGAGGCAGCCCCCGGCCAUGCCAUCAGAGCGCCCCAGGGCCGGCACGCAGGACCUUGAUGCGGUGCUGCUGGCCGUGGAGCUGGAGAACCAGCGGCUGGAGGACGAGCUCCUGGCACUGAAGGUCCGGAAGGCGAGGAGAGCUGAUGCCAGCUCGCUGGCGGCCCAGCAGCACGCAGAGGACCUGGCCCAGCUGCAGGCAGAGGUGGGGAUGCUGAGACGCCAAGCGGAGGGGACGGGGCCGCGGGCGGUCCCCCCCGUCCUCCCACCCCCCCAGCUCCCACCAGCCCGGUCUCUGCCAGGGUUUCUCACGGAGCCUCCGGGACCAGCCCUGGGGCCAGGCAGCCCCCCAGCCCCCAGCCGCCUGCCCGCCGCCCCCAGCCUCCCUGGCAUCCCCAUCGCAGCCCUGGAGGACCCCCCUCCUGCUCGGGAGCCGCCAGCAGAGCACAAACCCCCCCGGAGACACAUCCCAAGCCACUUUUAGAAGCUUCACAGGCUGUACCCAUGGCUCAAGCCAGGAAGCAGCAAAAAACACAGCAAGAUUUCCUCCCGCAUACUGGAGGCCCUGGGCUGGGUGUUUAAUAAAUGGCUUCCCCUG